rnacentral:tRNA from 1 species
GCGGGUGUUUUCCAACACGUUGUCGCGUAUCGUCCCUGGUCAGACACACAAAUUCGUCGCACACUGCCAGGAACCUUGCCAAGGUGAGGGUCGCGAGUUCGAAUCUCGUCGUCCGCUCCA